rnacentral:lncRNA from 1 species
CAGGGUCUCUCACUGGCCUGGAGUUUCCCAAGUAGGUCAGCCUAUCUGGCUAGCAAGUCCCAGGGCCUGACAGUCUUCCCACCACAGUACUGCCAUUACAGAGAUUGAUUUUGAAAGCACCCCUCAAAGGCUUGAAAGUACUCAGACAGCCGUUCAGUUGUGUGCUGCCCAGGUUAUAACUCAAGUUUCCCAGUAAAUGACACGCAGAAGAAGUAAUAGGAGAUGACGCCCCACCCUUCCUGUCUCUCCGAUACCCUGCAGCAUCUGUUAGUCAUCUUUGUCAUAGAUGCUAAUAAAUUCAAAUUAAGGACAGCAAGAGUAUUGAAUUAAUAUUUCAGUGGGUUUACUGUUCAACAUCCAAUCUUACUAAGGCUGGAUAUUCCUGCAUUAAAAUGCCUUCCUUUAAUUUUUUUUUUAAGAUUUAAAAAAAUGAAAUUUAUCCUUUUUGGGGGUAUGUAUGGGAUAUAUGCACAUUUUCUAUCUCUCUCACUAACUCUGAGUGUGGGUGCAGAAAUCUUUCAGUACAGGAAUUUGAAGCCAGUCAGAUGUUUCUUUCCAUUCUUAAGGUGAUGUUUAUUUGACUUUCC